rnacentral:rRNA from 1 species
GAUGAACGCUGGCGGCGUGCCUAAUACAUGCAAGUCGAGCGAACGGACGCGAAGCUUGCUUCUCUGAUGUUAGCGGCGGACGGGUGAGUAACACGUGGAUAACCUACCUAUAAUACUGGGAUAACUUCGGGAAACCGGAGCUAAUACCGGAUGAUAUUUUGAACCGCAUGGUUCAAAAGUGAAAGACGGUCUUGCUGUCACUUCUAGAUGGAUCUGCGCUGCAUUAGAUAGUUGGUAAGGUAACGGCCUACCAAGGCAACGAUGCAUAGCCGACCUGAGAGGGUGGUCGGCCACACUGGAACGGGAACGCGGACAAUACGCCUACGGGAGGCAGCAGUAGGGAAUCUUACGCAGUGGGCGAGAGCCUGACGGAGCAACGCCGCGUGAGUGAUGAAGGUCUCCGGAUCGUAAAGCUCUGUUAUUAGGGAAGAACAUAUGUGUAAGGAACUGUGCACAUCUUGACGGUACCUAAUCAGAAAGCCACGGCUAACUACGUG